rnacentral:rRNA from 1 species
CGUGUUGUGAAAUGUAGAUGCUCAACAUCUGCACUGCAGCGCGAACUGGUUUCCUUGAGUGUGCGGAAGGUAGGCGGAAUUCGUGGUGUAGCGGUGAAAUGCAUAGAUAUCACGAAGAACUCCGAUUGCGAAGGCAGCUUACCGUAGCAUUACUGACGCUGAUGCUCGAAGGUGCGGGUAUC